rnacentral:rRNA from 1 species
UUAAGGAAUUAAGCUUCCGGGUGCGGGAGUACGGUGGCAAGAUUAAUAAUCAAAGGAAUGAACGGCGGCACGCACAAGCGGUGGAGCAUCUGGUUUAAUUCGAAGCAACGCGCAGAACCUUACCAGCUCUUGACAUUUGGUGCUACCACGGGAGACCGUGGGUUCCCUUCGGGGACGCCAGGACAGGUGCUGCAUGGCUGUAGUCAGCUCGUGUCGUGAGAUGUUGGGUUAAGUCCCGCAACGAGCGCAACCCUUGCCCUUAGUUGCCAGCAUUAAGUUGGGCACUCUAGGGGGACUGCCGGUGAUAAGCCGAGAGGAAGGUGGGGAUGACGUCAAGUCCUCAUGGCCCUUACGGGCUGGGCUACACACGUGCUACAAUGGCGGUGACAGUGGGCAGCGAAGGGGUGACCCGGAGCUAAUCUCCAAAAGCCGUCUCAGUUCGGAUUGUUCUCUGCAACUCGAGAGCAUGAAGUUGGAAUCGCUAGUAAUCGCGUAACAGCAUGACGCGGUGAAUACGUUCCCGG